UCCGGCUUAUCACCGGCAGUCUCCCUAGAGUGCCCAACUGAAUGAUGGCAACUAGGGACGAGGGUUGCGCUCGUUGCGGGACUUAACCCAACAUCUCACGACACGAGCUGACGACAGCCAUGCAGCACCUGUGUACGCUGGUAUUGCUACCUCGUCAGGCUUUCACCCUUCUACUACGUACAUGUCAAGGCCAGGUAAGGUUCUUCGCGUUGCAUCGAAUUGAGCCACAUACUCCACCGCUUGUGCAGGCCCCCGUCAAUUUCUUUGAGUUUUAACCUUGCGGCCGUACUUCCCAGGCGGCACGUUUAGCGCGUUAGCUUCGCCACGAAAGGGGUCGAUUCCUCUCACAGCAAACGUGCACCGUUUACAGCCAGGACUA
rnacentral:misc_RNA from 1 species